UACGUAGGGCGCAAGCGUUGUCCGGAAUUAUUGGGCGUAAAGAGCUCGUAGGCGGCUCGUCGCGUCGACCGUGAAAACCCGCGGCUUAACUGCGGGCUUGCGGUUGAUACGGGCGGGCUUGGAUUCGGUAGGGGAGACUGGAAUUCCUGGUGUAGCGGUGAAAUGCGCAGAUAUCAGGAGGAACACCGGUGGCGAAGGCGGGUCUCUGGGCCGUAACUGACGCUGAGGAGCGAAAGCGUGGGGAGCGAACAGG
rnacentral:rRNA from 1 species